GGGAGCAUGGGGCCGAGGAGCAUGACGCAAGCGGGCUGGCCGCGUAGGUGUGUCUCGGGGAGCAUGGGGCCGAGGAGCACGACGCAGGCGGGCUGGCCGUGCAGGUGUGGUCUCGGGCAUCAUGCGGUCGAGGAGCACGACGUAGGCGGGCAAGCCGCGCAGGUGUGGUCUCGGGCAUCAUGCGGCCGAGGAGCACGACGUAGGCGGGCUGGCGCGCUGAGGUGAACUCGGCAGUCUUCAGCCGAGGACACCACUUAAGCGGGCAGGCCGCGCUGAGGUGGACUCGAGCAGUCUUCGGCCGAGGGACAUGGCUUAGGCUGAGGGGCACGGCUCAAGCGGUAAGGCCGCCCUGAGGUGGACUCGGCAGUCUUUGGCCGAGGGAUCCGGCUCAAGCCGAAGGACGACUCAAGCGGGCAAGCCGCGCUGAGGUGAACUCGGUAGUCUACGGCCAAGGGACACGGCUCAAGCGGGCAGGCCGCGCUGAGGUGAACUCGGCAGUCUUCGACCGAGGGAUACGGCUCGGGCCGAGGGACACGGCUCAAGCGGGCAGGCUGUGUUGAGGUGGACUCGGCAGUCUACGGCCAAGGGACACGGCUCAGGUGGGCAGGCCGCGCUGAGGUGAACUCGGUAGUCUUCGGCCGAGGGAUAUGGCUCGGGCCGAGGGACAUGACUCAGGCGGGCAGGCCGCGCUGAGGUGGACUCGGCAAGUACACGGCUCAAGCCAAGGGGCACGGCUCAAGCGAGAAGGCCGCCCUGAGGUGGACUCGGUAGUCUUCGGCCGAGAGACACGACUCAGGCGGGCAGGCUGCCCUAAGGUAGACUCGGGCAACAUGGUCGAGGAGCACGGCUCGGGCUAAGGGAUACGACUCAAGCGGGCAGGCCGCGCUGAGGUGGACUCGACAGACUACGGCCAAGCCGUGUAGAUACCGAAGGGGGUUAGGUUGGAGCUAACCGCGAAUCGGGAGGCAGUCAGGUAUAUACUGAGCCUUCGCUCGGUAAAGACUGAGGCAGGGCUUAGAUUGCUUUUCAUGAGGACUACAUCGGGUAGCCACCGCGGGUCCUUGACUUCCUUUAUGGAGCCCGCUGCCAGAAGUCGUCCCUACUCCUCACGGUCGCCCAGGCUUCCGUCGCGAUUUACCGGUUAGCCCGUUGGAGCAUCUCUGGCACCGUGGUGGGAGGUCGCUCCGUGAGGGACCAUAGGAAUCUGGAGGCUCGCAGGCCUAUCAUAAACGCCUGCACUAACAAAGAGGGGUGAGUGUCCAGCAAACCCCAGAUUUGCGUGGCAAAGCGAUCCACAAAAUGUGAGAGGGGCUCGUACUCCCUUUGUUUGAGUCCGAGGAGUAGUGUCGUCGAAGGCUUUGGCCGUGCAUAGGCUACGAAGUGGAGCUCGAAGUCAUUGGCGAGCUGGUCGAAGGAAGCAAUCGUUCCGGUCUUCAAGCCGCCAUACCACGCGUGGGCCGGCCCUCUCAGAGUGGUAGGAAACGCUCUGCACAUCAGGGUAUCAGAGGUUCCGUAUAGCACCAUUUGGGCGCGAAAAGUAGCUACAUGGUCCGCUGGGUCGGCGAAGCCAUCGUAAGCGUCCAGAGAGGGGAGCUGGAAGUCCGGGGGGACUGUCUGAUCCCGUAUCUCGGGCGUGAACAGAGACCCUUGGUGUGCGUCCUCCCCGAGCUCUCCCUUGGACCUGCGAACCUCUUUCUGCACCUCGUCGAGUCACUGGCUGACGAAGCGCAACUAGGCCCGCAGGGAGUCGGAAGAGAGUGCCUCGGGUUCCGGGCAACCGCUCAGGUUUACCAUCAUUGGAUCCCCGAGUGGGGCCGGUCGGACCCGAGGCGAAGUGGGGGGCACCGGAAGUGUCAUGUGGGCCCGAACGGGCGCCUUGCGUUGUCGCAGUGGUUCGAUCGUAGGCGGGUGCACCGGAUGAGAAAUGAGCGGGAUAAUGGUUUGCACCAUUUCCAUCAGAGUUCGGACUUGAUGGGCGAGGUCCUGAAAGGCCUCGGAUGACAUGGGCGUCGAGUCGGCUGGGGCGCCGUCGGGCGGCGACAAGCCCGGGUCGUUAAAUAUUCGCCAAUAUCGUUCCGAGGUCGUGGCGGGGUGUUCGUCACGAUGGUCUCCGUGCGGGGGAUGUUCCCCCGAGGCUCCAGUCGGGUGCGACCUCUCAGCCGUGGGCUCAUCUGAGCCGCUCGGGUGAUCACCCGACAUUUCGGGCCCUCCUUCUAGCGCCAAUCUGUCAUGGGAAACAAUCUUUGAGCCGUGGCCUCGGGGCCGACGCGGCUCGGUUCGGGUCCGGAUGACGGGGAUCUCCCUGGGACGUUCCUCGAGCCCGCCGAGGUGGUCUGAUGCGGUGGUCGGGACGGGAUCGUCGUUUCCUCCGGGCAGGAACUCCUCGCCUUCGCAUCCAACGGGGACUUUCGGCUUCGCACCUGCACAAAGGUCGGGUCGGGGUGCUCGGCCCGACCCCUCCGACAAUCAAGUCAGUUGAUAGUGGUUAGGGGGUGUUUUUUCACCUUUUUCCUUUUUCUGUUCAGAAUGCGAGGGUAUUUAUAGGGAAGCUUACUGUGCCCGCUUGCAAGGGGCAGGCUGGUGCGUCUGACAUUGGUGUUGGCGUGGUGUGAAGAACCGAGCCUGAGCAGGCGUUAAUGCGUCUCGACCGGCAUUUUGGUCCGUUUGACCAGGUGCUGUCACGUCGAUCGAGGCGUAAGGCGUCAUCUGACGACAGUCGAAUUUUAUCAUAAUUACUAUCCUCAUCAGAUAGCAUACUGGUUCUUUAACUAGGGAGUUUCCCCCAAACUUUAUUUAUGCUGAGAAAGAACCAAUUCAUAAUCACAUUAUCAUUUGUCUAAAUUUCUAAUUUAAUGGAUGGAUCUAGUAAGCACAUCAUAUAUAAGAAUGAUCCAAUUUCAUGUUACUGAAUGUUAUGUUUAUUCCAUUCAAAUGGCCAUUAUGUAUGUACAUGCCUUUCAACUCCUAAAUGUAUGGUGCAGAUUAUCUUGAUUCUUACAUUUAAUUUGGAUUGACUUAAUUUUCCUAUCUACUUAGCAUAGCGCCUCUCAUGCAGGGGUUGAUCUCUGCUAAUGGUGCUAGGAAAUUUCGAUGACGGUUGAAAUAUCCUUUGAACUACAAUAAAUAAUUCUAGGAAUUGAUGGCUACCUCUGCUGGCACACUAGUUGAUGGUUACAUAUGAGCAAGACUAAGUUUAUCUGUGGGGAAUUGAUUUUUUUCAUGGUGACUUUUCUCCAAACCCUUCAUAUUCAGGAAACACCACUGAGCACGAUUCAAGUUUUAUUGGCAAUAGUUGUGUAUUAGAGAAGGUACGCUGAUAUAGACCAUGCUACUUUAGAGAAUGAGAUGAUCAUAUGCACUUGUACUAAUGUAGAUGCUUUUGGAACUUCACAUGAAUAUGAGUGUACACAAGCAUCUAUUUUCACACAAGAUUUGUUUCACCCAGACUAUAGAUUAAGUGUUACGUAAGAUAAUGAACUUACUUGAGUUAGUUAAAGAUUUAAUGGUAUAUUUUGAUUUAUUAUGUCUUGAAAUAUUUAAUGCUCACUUAUGUAUGGAUCAAGGAUAUGACGAAGAAGAGAUGGAUGAUGGCAGACUCUCUAGUUCAUGUUCCAAUUCUGGAAGAAACCCUUACAGAUGAUUUUUUUUGUUGUAGAUGAUGAAGUUGGCAGAAGGUUAAAUCAGAUGGUACCCAUCCCUCCUGUUUAAAAUCAAUGGAGAAAUUCCUUCUAUUGAUGAAGCCCCUUAUCAUCAAAGGCUACUAGAGAGGGCUUGCUGUAUGAUAUUUUAUCCUUGUCUUCGUAGUUGCUAACUAGUGGGAGGUUUGAUAUAGCAUCCUCUCAAGACAAAGCUCUGUCGUUAUUCUAAACAUUAAUUUUUAUUUUUUGUAAUAGUAUUUUUCUCACAUUCAAAACUUUUUUUUCUAUUUGAUUUUCAUUUGGAGUUUCCCGUGAACUAUGGAUAUCUAGAGUUAGUAAUGAAAACUAAAACAUUGUUCGCCUGAUAUUUUGUGUAUAAUUUUAAUCAAAAUGUCACUGUUCAUGAGCCAUCAAUACUGCUUGAACUUUGUUUUUGUAGCUCUAGUAUAUGGCAACUCAUCCUCCUUUUCAUUUUUGGUUACUAGAAGGAUGUUUGAUAUAACAUCCUCUAAAUGCA